UAUUCUGCCCUACAGGGAAGGAUGAGAAGCUUCGACUAAGGUUCGACUAAGGUUCGACUCGAGCGAAGCGAGAGAACGUUGCCGCAGGCAACGGCCCGAAGGGCGAGGCGCUUUAGCG
rnacentral:sRNA from 1 species